GACAGAGGGUGCAAACGUUGUUCGGAUUUACUGGGCGUAAAGCGCGUGUAGGCGGCUUCGCAAGUUGGAUGUGAAAGCCCACGGCUCAACCGUGGAAGCGCAUCCAAAACUGCGUCGCUUGAGUCUCGGAGAGGAAGGUGGAAUGCUUGGUGUAGAGGUGAAAUUCGUAGAUAUUCGCAAGAACACCAGUGGCGAAGGCGGCUCACUGGUCCGGUACUGACGCUGAGGUGCGAAAGCGUGGGGAGCAAACAGGG
rnacentral:rRNA from 1 species